rnacentral:tRNA from 2 species
GCUGGUGUGGCUCAAUUGGCAGAGCAGCUGACUUGUAAUCAGCAGGUUGUAGGUUCGAUUCCUAUCACCAGCUCCA